UCCAAAUACACAAAAAUAUAACACAACAAUCCGCAGCAACCCACGGCUCAAUUACUAGUCUCAUCAAUUGUACAGAAAAUUACACUCAAAUUGACUAUUACACCCCACCUCUUCCUCCCCACGUUUCCUAGCCCAUUCUCACAAACAAUUCCAUGUACAAAAUCAUUCAAGUGAAGAUAGAGAUAGUACACAAAUUGAUCACCUCAUAUCUUUCACUUCUUCACUCACGUACUCCUUCUCCUUCACGCAAACACAUACAAAUUCACUCACAACUUGCACAAACACACAAAGUAUGAAUGAUAUGCAGUGUAUUCAUAUAGCUACAUUCAUCAUUCCUCCUUCCUCUUGAAGUCCCUCCUUCGUUUCUCCUCUUGUUCCUGUCAAGCAAAGCAACAAAACACGAUCUUUUCUUCUUCAUUUUUCUAUCAAAGAAACUAUUGGAGGUGGUUUUCUUGUGGUUUUUCUGGCGAGACCAAGAGGGCAGCAGCCCCAAUUUCUUGUUUCCUUCUCCUGAAAAAAAAAAUAAAAUAAAUAAAGCAAACAAACGCACCCUUGAUUUCCUUUGCUGCUGCCAUCCUUCCCCUUAUUUGUGUGUUAUCAGACUAGAAGAAGAAGCAACAAGGAGGCUGCUGGAGCAGCCCCCGUCGCACCUUCCCUUCCUUCCCGACGAGCUCCGCUGCCAAGCACCCCCCACUUGAGUGCUACUGUUCGUUUUCCUCCCAUCAGACCCCCUCUUCUGGCCUUACCCCUCGCACCUUCUCUUCUUCUCCUAUCGAGAUACUGUCGCCGAAGCCUCGCCUUUGCUGCUGUUGCUGCUCGCAUACCUCCAAGCAGACCGGUACUCCCCUUCUCCUUUCGCACCUCAUUAUCGGAGCAGGAAGAGAGCAACCUCGCUGCUUCUUCCCUUCCUUUUUCGGUCUCGUCAAACCCGGAGACGCUCCCUUCUUGCGAUCGAUCGACAAAAAACCGGAUUUCCUAACUGCCUGCGAGCCUUCAUGCUUUCCUUCUUGACUUCAAUCGUCCGUUUGUAUGUUCUAUCCGCUUUCAUUCGUUGCUUCAUUAUCCCUCAACAAAUGAUGAGGGCAAAAAAAGCCCUAAAUCCUUUUUAUUUUUAUGAAAUGACCAAACUAACUCCCUUAUGGAACCAUUAAUUCAAAAUAAAUCCCAACCUACAAACUUUGAUUUAAAUUAAGC
rnacentral:lncRNA from 1 species